ensembl:lncRNA
AGGGAUCUUCUGGUUUUUAUUGGCAAUGACAACUUGGUACAAAAAGUGCUUUCUGGGUGCUGCGGGAGCUCAGCAUGCACAGCCCAGACCAGGGCUGCAGAAUAGUCAGUGCAGGAUCAGGAUCAGUGUCCACUGUCUCUUUACAGGCCUAAAAUGCCUUAUGAACUUGACCUUAUACAGCUAUACUUCUCAGGGAGGCCAGAGACAAGAUAGAAGUUAAGACACAUUGCUUUAUCUUUGUCUCGUGGAAAUGUAAUGCUAUUCAGUUUUUCCCUCCCAGUUAGCCCAAAACUAUGGAGUCAGCUCGAGAUUUUGGAGUGAAUGGUGUGAAUAAAGCAUCAAAUUAGCCUUAUAGCCUACACACCACUGAGGUCAGGUCUAAUUGCAUGGAAAAACAUUGUCUUUAAUCAGUGUGAGUGCCUCAAAGCAGACCAUGACAAAACCUGCCAGUACCUAAAUAUAACCACUAAUCACAGGAAUCUUAAAAUUAUUAAUUUUAAGCAAAGUUUUACUCUAAUUAUAAAACAUGAAAAACAAUACCUGGAUAUUUUAAGAAAUUACACUUGCACAUUACAGUUGCAUGAAAAGAUUAGUUACUUUCAUGUUUGUGUCUUAAGAGCAGAGCUAGACCCAGAAGGUGAUCAGCCUAGCGUAGCGUAAACACUGAUAGUAGCAAUAUAUAGCUAACCAGACUUUGUCCACAGAAAAAGAUAAACCCAACAACACUGCUAUAGUUUGACACACUUACACCAUAUGUGUUUAAUAUGCACAAAAACAGUGAUUUACCAUAAAAGGUAAAACUAUGCUAUCAUAAUUAGCAUAAACUAUGCUGUCUCCCAAUUCAAACAUUUUUUAAAUUAAGCUAGCUUACCUAUUUAAAAAGUACGUGUGUUCUCGUUUGUACAAGGCCAAUGUGGGCAAUAAAUCUGAAGAAGCCAAAAGUAGAUUUAAUUUAAAACUGAUAUUCUGUUAAAUGUUCUAAAAUUGAAUUUGCUUAAAGCAUGAAAUAAAACGUUUUGGUCUUGGUUUCUGAAACUGUUUCAUCCCUCUACUCACUGGCUUUGCAGUUGUCUGACUUCAGCCCUGGUCAGGGCCUUGACAAAUAAACCUUCCAGGCAAAUGCAGUCCUAGAGCAGCAUUCACAGAGAACAACAAGGAGGCUUCAUGCAGUUGUGUAUCAACUCUUUGUCAUGGUGGAUAUGUUUCAUCUCAAAAUAUUACAGGCACUUUAUCAGUAUUCCAUCUGCAGCACAAUCUGAUCACACAAUCUGUUUCACAUCUGUAAUACAACCUGGGAUCUUGAACUGGGCAUGCAGAUAUAUAAAUACAAUCCUGGGAUGUAUUUAAAAAC